rnacentral:rRNA from 1 species
UACGUAGGGUGCGAGCGUUGUUCGGAAUUACUGGGCGUAAAGCGCGCGCAGGCGGCUCUUUACGUCUGACGUUGAAAUGCCGGGGCUCAACCCCGAGCGUGCCGGAGAUACUGGAGGGCUGGAGACGAGUAGAGGCAAGCGGAAUUCCGGGUGUAGCGGUGGAAUGCGUAGAGAUCCGGAAGAACACCGGAGGCGAAGGCGGCUUGCUGGGCAUUGUCUGACGCUGAGGCGCGAAAGCGUGGGGAGCGAACAGG